GAAACACCAAUGGACGCGGGGGUGGGCGGGCUCGCACCUGGUGCAGGAGGCGGGGCUUGCCCAGCCAGGCCAAUGAGAGCGCGAAGCGCUGGACGGUCGUUGGGCGCGAGGUCGGCGCAUGGCGGACGCGGCGCUGUUCGAGUUUCUGCAUACCGAGAUGGUGGCGGAGCUGUGGGCGCACCACUCCGACCCUGGCCCUGGGGUCUCCUGUCUGAACCGAAUGCAGGCCUCCUUGUUGGGUACUUCUGGUGUCCCCAGCACCGUAUUCUGUUGGAUUCAGUCCUCAGAACGGACUUGCAAGGGACAGAAGAUGAGCCUGUGUGUCCUAGAGGGCAUGGGCUUCCGUGUGGGCCAGGCCCUGGGAGAGAGCAUCGGCCGGGCCCAAGCAGCUGCCCUGCCCUCCAGGCUUGCCCCAGGACACGCUGGCCUUCAGGGAGGAGCUGGACGUCCUCAAGUUCCUGUGCAAAGACCUGUGGGUGGCUGUGUUCCGAAAGCAGAUGGACAGCCUCCGUACCAAUCACCAGGGGACCUACGUCCUACAGGAUAACAGCUUCCCCCUCCUCACCCGGAUGGCCUCAGGCCUGCAGUAUCUGGAGGAAGCACCCAAGGUAAGUUCCAGGUGGUGAUCCAGAAAACCUGAGGAGCGCCCCCGCUGCCAGCCCACUCCGCUGAGCCUCACAGCCCCCGCUGGCCCGGGGACCUCGGAGCCCCACCUUUGGGGGUGGCCAGAGGGCUCGCGCUGGGGACCCCGGGCUCUAGGGUGAUGGACAAGUGGGAGGGGGGAUGGUGCAGUGGGGCCAACCGCUCUAGGGUAUCACAUGUGCUCCCCAGGCGGGUAUCACAGAGAGGUCGGGGUGUCCUGGGAACGAGGUGGCCCAGGUUGGGCCAGUGUGAAGGGAUCCCUACGUUGGGCCCCUUGCUCUGCAUGGCAGCUGUCCAGUAAAGGUUCUGUGUGUGGAA